ACCCGAUUAGCUCAGUCGGCAGAGCAUGAGACUUUUCACAUCUCAGAUCGUGGGUUCGAGCCCCACUCAGGGCA
rnacentral:tRNA from 1 species